CUACCUCAGUCUCCUUUCCAGCUAUCUCAGCUCUUCUGGCCCAGCUGCUUGCCUGUCUCUUAAUUUAAAGAGGAAUGGGGCCUCUUUGGCUUCGCUUUCCUUGUUUUCACUGAAAAUGAAACUGAAUUUGGGAGGCUUCUGAGGAUUACAGAAUCUAAACAAAAAGUAUGGGGUCAAGCAUGCCCAGUGUAGUCCUACUUUCAGUAUUCUGACAGAGGUGGAGAUUAGGAGGGUAGAAAGAACCACAACAGAAGCAAGGGUGCCAUGAUUUUAAAAGCUGAUGGAGUCACUUUGCCUGAUAGAUUAUUAAAGAAGCAAAAAGAAAAGUUCUUUGCGGAAAAGAAACUGUGCAAGAACCUUUUCCCAAAAGCAUUACUACAAAUAGAUAUCAGAUCCAGAUACUCAUCUACUGUAUGUCUUGAUGGGAGGUCAGACCAAAACCGUGCCACAGAGCAGAAAACGCAACCUGCAUGCAGUACAAUAUUCAGCAAAGUAGCUGUCUUCUGCCUAAACCAGUGAUGGGCAACCUUUUGAGCCUGGUGUGUCAAAAUUCGCCAAAACACCAAACAUAACUUGGGCGACAUGUCACUUUGAGAAAAAAAAUAUGAUUUUGCAAUAUUUAUAGUUUAAAUAACAAAAAUGCGUAAUUGUAAUAUAUAACUGUAUUUAAUGAACCAAAAACUAAUUAUUUAACUUAUCUGUUUAGCGAUUACUUUGUUCAUCUGUCAGUCAAUUUCUUUUGUUGCUCUUGAUAUUAUUUAACUUGUGUGGGGUGCCGUGAACUAAGUGAGGAGGAGAGGGAAUUCGUUAACUAACCUGCCUAUUAGUGACUUUUCAAUGCUUAGGUCACUGAAUGUUUGUAUAACAACCUUACAUAUUUCGCUUCCUGAUGUACUUGUUGGCACUGAUACUAACUUUAUCAACUCUUCUCUCAUUGUGAGACCAUCAGAAUAUCGACCAAUAAUGGCCAACUGAGCAUGUGAUGUGACAUUAGUAGUUUCAUCAUGAGAGAUUAAAAAAUAUUUACAAUUACUUAUG
rnacentral:lncRNA from 11 species